rnacentral:lncRNA from 1 species
GUUUUCUAUGAUAUAUUUUUGUUGUUGGCUUUCGUUAUGACUCAGCUACCUAAAACCACAAAAUUUCUCUUGGGAUGAGUGUUCAUCACAGGGAAAUGAUUACUGAUUUCCAAACAGGCCCUAAAUUAUAGUCAGCUAUUCCCCCAACCCUACUCAAUGCUGCACCAGCUGGAAGAGUUCAUAGUACUAAAAUAAUAGCUAAAAAUAAGAACCAAAAGUUAAAUAGUACUCAAAGAGUUCCAAUCUAUGUGGGAAUCCUAGUCACUCAGCAGUAAGUUGAACAGGAUCCAGGCCCCAAUGCAGAAAAACCCUCCUGAGCUAAGCUCAUUGAGGCAGCAGUGAACUCAACAAGAAAGUCCUCAACUCCAAGAAGCUCCAAAGCUGAAAGUCAAAGUCCUGAAGCCAAAAACUCCAGUGGAAAGGUCCAAAGCUUCAAGUUGAAGUCAAAGUCCAAAAGCCCCAAGGAGCUGUCCUCCAAAGAAGAAGUCCAAAGGAGAAGAUCCAAGGAGCAAAGACUCCAAAGAAGAACUCCAAAGGAGAAGUCCCUUGGACAGUGAUGGGGACUGGCCACAUCUAGCCAUCAUGAACAUGCAUGUUCUUAAUGCAGUCUCCACAUGGGCUUCAGAACAUCCAAGGUAUUCCAUGAUUAUUUCAGGUUUUCUAGUCAUGGGGGGGGGGCAGAGAAAUGGACU